rnacentral:lncRNA from 1 species
CUUCAUUCCCCAUAAAAGAAGGCUUAUUAGGCAUCUGCUGAUCAAGAUAUAGGAAAAGGCUUGUGGUGGUGGUGGUGGAGAACUCUGUGGUGGGCAUUUGGGAAGCUCAUAGAAUGUUUAAUGUUCACUUUUAAUAUUCAUUCUAUUAGGGAGGAAGAGCAUGGGUUUCAGAGUCAUUCAUACAUGGUUUCAAAGUCUAACUCUGUCUCUCACUUCUGGAUGAACUUGAAGAAGUUAGUUUCUCUGACCUUUGAUGCCUUCAACUUGACCAUGAUACUAACAUCCUCAUGAAGAUUACUUGGGGGAUAUGUGUAAAGUACAUUUUUAAUUCCUUUGGUUCCUGAACAAUCUCCCCUUUCUUCUCAUCCUUGAAGAGUUAAAAGACUGAAGAAUGCCGGUGUGCUUCUGCUGUGUGAUUCCCAGAAUCUGCAGACCUUAUACAAAUUCUUGGCCGGAAGCAACCCUCAGUCCCUGAAGGUCCCCAUCUCUGAGGAUGCCAGUGCAACCUUCCCAACAUCUCCUAGUCCCUUCUGCUACUUCUUCAGGUUUAUGGCUCUGUUUAUCACAUCAACCAUGGAAACCCCUUCAACUUGGAGGCACUGGGGGACUCUUGGCCUGAGUAUCAGACAGUCAUUCUCCUGCCUUAGAAACAGGUAGGCACACGGAUGGAGACCAAUGGGAGCAGUCAGCUCCUAAAGGCUUGAGGAACCAACCUGGUUCAGAUUCACCACAGCCGCUUGUAGCGUAUAACAGAAGUUGGAGUAUUUUAAAGACACUCCUUCAGAAUGUGGUACCUCAGAUGAGCUCCACAUCCCCCCCCUUCCUGUCAAAGCAUAAAACUCAUCUGGGCAAGGGCAGGAUGUGACGAGAAGGAGGAGGAGAAAACUGGAACUGACAGAUCAUCUCUGGUCUGAUGGAAAUUAAGGGCCAACUGAAGCAGCAGGGGUCAGUGACAGGGGCUGAAAGAAGGCCAAUCUACAGGGAAAGGUGAGUGUCUAGGACUUCAGAACAGCGACCUGGAAAAAAAAAACCAGGGCAGAAGUCCACUAGUAAAAACUGCCUCUCAGGAACCAGAGAUGGGACUCCUAAUGACUGUGUGUGAACCACGUGGAGGCAUUUCCCUUGUUAGCGAAUGUCAUCCUCAGAACAACCUUAUCAAGUGAGGGUUAAUAUCUCCAAUUUAGAGAUGAGAAAACUAUGCUGAGGGAUAUUAAAUAUGUUGCUGCAGGAGAUCGUAGGUUAAAGCAUUGUCUUUGGCUUUGGCUAGUAUGACUCGAAUUCAAGUUUGAAUGACUUUGUUGAUUUUAUUAGCUAUGUGACCACAGGCACUUAUCUGAGCCUCAGUUUCAUCAUCCACAAAAUGGGGAUAAUAAGAGUACCUUCAGUGAUAUAUUAGAAAGAAAAGAAAAAAGCAAAGAGUACCUUCAUAGAAUGACACAAAGUGUAAAUGAGAUACUGUAUAUGAAAAACUUAGUAUAUAGCACAUGAUUGUAAAUAUUAUCAUUGUUAUGGCUGAAGUCACACAAAGAGUGAGUGAUUCAGCUGAAAUGCAAACCUAGGUCUAUUUUUGCCCUAAAGCUUAUGAACUUUCCUGUUCUGUGGACAUUUAGUCAGUGAAUUGACACUUCAAAGCCAGCUGGCUUUAUUGCGGGUACUGAAGCUGAGACCCCAAAUAAUGAUAAACUAAUCCAGGUCAAGAUGACCUUGAAAACCAGGUUAGGCCUGGGGUGUAGAAGGUGAUGAAGUGACCCCAGCUUGAAGAAACGAGGGAACCAGGCAGAGCCGGACAGUCCGCACAACUUCCUCCUUGGCAUUUUCCCCAGGGAGGUGUUUUUAUCUCCUGGCUUCUUGACAGUCUGGGUUUUAGGACUAAUACUCAGCUAUUAAAUUCUAUAGCCCAGUUUUUUCAAACUGUUGUAUGCUAAAUAACAGUAAGUGGCAUAUGAUCAAAUAUUUCUUUUUAUUUCAAUAAUUUUAUAUUUGUGAUGUGCGUUGGAGCAAUAUAACUUUAGCAUCAAACCCAUGAUUGCACAUCUUCAUUGCUUUGAACAAGGCUAGUUUUACAAAAGUGAGUUAAUAAAUAAAAAUUCUAAAUAUGUAGAAGUGCCAUGGUACAUAUAUAUGACAAAAAUUGGGAAGAGUGUAAAACAAUACAAUUUAUUUUUUAAGUUAAUUUUUAUUGAGCUAAGUUUUAUUGAGUGUAUUGAGUUUAAUCUUGUGAAAUUUCAGUUGGACAUUAUCGUUUGUCAGUCAUGUUGUAGGUGCACCCCUUCACCCUUUGUGCCCACACCCCACCCCUCCUUUCCCUUGGUAGCCACUAAACUGUUCUCUUUGUCCACAUGUUUAAAUUCCUCAUAUGAGUGGAGUCAUACAGAGAUUGUCCUUCUCUAUCUGGCUUAUUUCACUUAACAUAAUUCCCUCAAGGUCCAUCCAUGUUGUUGUAAAUGGGACGAUUUUAUUCUUUUUUAUGGCUGAGUGGUAUUCCAUUGUAUAUAUGUACCAUAUCUUCUUUAGCCAAUCAUCAGCUGAUGGGCACUUAGGUUGCUUCCACAUCUUGGUUAUUGUAAUUAAUGCUGCAGUGAACAUUGGGGUGCAUGGGACUUUUGGAACUGCUGACUUCAAGCUCUUUGGAUAGAUACCCAGUAGUGGGAUGGCUGGGUCAUAUAGUAUUUCUAUUUUUAAUUUUUUGAGAAAUCAUCAGGGAAAUAUAAAUCAAAACUACACUAAGAUAUCACCUUACACCCAUUAGAAUGGCAAAGAUAAUCAAAACAAAAAGUAACAAGUGUUGGAGAGGUUGUGGAGAAAAAGGAUCCCUCAUACACUGCUGGUGGGAAUGUAAACUGGUGCAGCCACUAUGGAAAACAAUACAAUUUAUUUUUAAAUACAUUCACCUAGCCUAAUUCCACAGCAUAUCAUAUUCCUUUCAAUAUCAAAAGUCAAUCCAAUUGUCAUGAAACUAUGACUGAUUUAUUUUUUUCAGGAAAAUUAGCUCUGAGCUAACAUCUGCUGCCCAUCCUGCUCUUUUUGUUGAGGAAGAUUGGCCCCGAGCUCACAUCCAUGCCCAUCUUCCUUUACUUUAUAUGUGGGACACCUGCCACAGCAUAGCUUGCAAAGUAGUGCACAGGUCCACACCCGGGAUCCAAACUGGCGAACCCUGGGCCACCAAAGAGGAACGUGCGAACUUAACCGCAGAGGCACCAGGCCGGCCCCUAUGACUGAUUUUUUUUUUAAACUAAAUCAGCUUUUAUACAUUUCUUAAAUUUUCCUUCAAAGUAUAAGGCAUGUAGGAAAAUCACUUGAACUACUCUGCUGUUGUCACCUUUAACCCUGUUUUGAUCCCAAAUUGUAUUUUGAAGUUGGGCCGUCUUCCCAUAUUCACCUGAGCAAAUUCAAUGUUAUUUUGUGGUGUUACAGAAAUUCAGAUUUACAUGCAGAAACUUUACUCAGAAACUAUCCAAAUAAGAGUCCCAGAAACGUUAGGGUUGUUAUUCAAAAGAACGUCAAAAUUCUGUGGAAAACGGAAGUAUUUAAGGCUAAAAUAAUCCACUGGUGAGAGUGGGAUGGGACAGAUGAAACAAGAUUGGUUAUAAUGCUGAUAAUCGUUGAAGCUAGGUCAUGAGUAUAUGGCGGUUCAUUAUACUUCUUUCCACUUUUGUCUAACUUUUACAUUUUCCCUUACUAAAUGUUAAAAAUAAAUUUUUUAAAAAAUCACAAGAACCAAAAGACUCUGUCAACUUCCUCGCAACUUUGGAGCAUUAGCCAGGAAGAAUAGAACUAAAUUUGAGCUGGUCCUGUAUCUAACUUGGCCACUUGAUAGUUGACCACUUUUACACUAAAUUUUUGUAUUGUUCUUAAAAUUUUCUGAGAGCAUUUUGAAUAUUAAGGGUACUAACAUUUGAGGUGUAUGCUACAAAUUUGUUUCUCAAUUUAUAAUUAUUUUUAUUUUAUCAAUGGAGCUUUGACAUGCAGAAAAUUUUAAUAUCUAUAACAUCAAAUAUGUCAUCUUUUUCAUUAUGACUUCUGAGGUCUUUUUUUUUAAUUAAGAAGCUUUUUCCUACUCCAAGCUUAUACAAA